rnacentral:rRNA from 1 species
AUGAUGCCCCCAAGGGGGAAACGACACCAUAGAGCCGUCGUCAUCCGAUCUACUGAUCUAGGGUUUCCCCCGGAGAUAGUAGAGAGUGACCUUAAACUUCUCCACGGCGAUGCCUUCAGAAAGGAAACGAUGCAGACAGCGUCGCUGUCGCCGGCCUUGGCUAUAGCCAAAAGCAGGUUUUCACCCAGAUCUGAUCGAAGACCUCCAUCUCUCGUGCACGGGCCGCCGCCAUCCCUGCUGGGAUCUCAACGAAGACUCCAAGGAGUGGAUCGGCGCCGCGGCGUCGUCAUCGUUGUGGCCGCCGUCACCGGCCAAGGGUCUCCCCCGAUCCCAAGAGCCCCACCAUCCAGUCACUGCCCACCACCCGGAUCCGGCGAGCAAGGCCACACCGAAGCCCAGAUCGAGCGGGAUAAGGUGAAGGAAAUGAAGCUAGCGCAGGUCAAUCCAGAUCUGGCGGCCGGCCGAUGGAUCACGGCCGCCAUGAGAUCCCACCACCAGGUCCUCGCCUCCCACGCGCCGGCAAGAUGA